AGGACAAACGCUGGCGGCGUACCUAAGACAUGCAAGUCGAACGAGGGAGGCUGCUUCGGCGGCCUUUCCGAGUGGCGGACGGGUGAGUAACGCGUAGGAACCUGCCCUGGAGUGGGGGAUACCGCUGGGAAACCGGCGCUAAUACCGCAUGUGGUCAUGCCGGGGAACCGGGAUGACGAAAGCAGCGAUGCGCUCGAGGAGGGGCCUGCGUCCGAUUAGCUGGUUGGUGAGGUAACGGCCCACCAAGGCGACGAUCGGUAGCUGGU
rnacentral:rRNA from 1 species